GCUCCACCACGAACAUGUAGUAGAGGUUCCACAGCAGCAUCGACAGCAGCGGCAGAAACGUCAGGCCGUAGCCGAAGCCUCGGAAGGAGCGGCCCACGGCGAAGAGACAUGGUCUUGCUAUGUUGCCAGUCUGGGCUCAAACUUCUGGCCUUGAGUGAUUCUCUCACCUCAGACUGCUGAGUAGCUGGGAUUACAGAUGCGAGCCACCACACCUGGCUGCACAAACUUUUAAAAUGUUUGAGCAAAUUCAAUGAGUAUAGUAAAAUAUCUUCCUCCCUUUACCGAUUCCCACCCUAUUUUCCCCCACCCCCACCCCAGGCAUCAAUAUUGCGGUUUCUUGUGCACUGAGUGAUUUUUAUUUUUUAUUAUUAUUUUAUUUUUUUUUUUUUGAGACGGAGUCUCGCUCUGUCACCCAGGCUGGAGUGCAGUGGUGCGAUCUCAGCUCACUGCAACCUCCGCCUCCCGGGUUCAAGCGAUUCUCCUGCCUCAGCCUCCCGAGUAGCUGGGACUACAGGCGCCCGCCACCACACC
rnacentral:sRNA from 1 species